rnacentral:piRNA from 1 species
UGGAAACCAUGGGUGAGCGGGAGA